AGUGAACGCUGGCGGUAGGCCUAACACAUGCAAGUCGAACGGCAGCACAGUAAGAGCUUGCUCUUACGGGUGGCGAGUGGCGGACGGGUGAGGAAUACAUCGGAAUCUACUUUUUCGUGGGGGAUAACGUAGGGAAACUUACGCUAAUACCGCAUACGACCUACGGGUGAAAGCAGUGGAUCUUCGGACCUUGCGCGAUUGAAUGAGCCGAUGUCGGAUUAGCUAGUUGGCGGGGUAAAGGCCCACCAAGGCGACGAUCCGUAGCUGGUCUGAGAGGAUGAUCAGCCACACUGGAACUGAGACACGGUCCAGACUCCUACGGGAGGCAGCAGUGGGGAAUAUUCGACAAUGGGCGCAAGCCUGAUCCAGCCAUACCGCGUGGGUGAAGAAGGCCUUCGGGUUGUAAAGCCCUUUUGUUGGGAAAGAAAAGCAGCAGGUUAAUCCACCGCUGUUCUGACGGUACCCAAAGAAUAAGCACCGGCUAACUUCGUG
rnacentral:rRNA from 1 species